rnacentral:lncRNA from 1 species
CAAGUUACUACAGCCAUUAACAGUGUUGGUAUAAAUAACUUUGACAAUUUCGGAAUUUACAAACGUUCUGGCUAUGUAAAGCUCACAUCAGGUGGAAUCAUAAGGGAUUUGUCAAAGUUUUGCAGUCAGGAAUACUUCUCCCCUCAAUAAUCUUAUACACUUUGGUGGAAGCUGUAGUCUUUGUGCAGCGUUCCCUUUCGGCAGACGUUAUAGAGUUGUUCAUGUCGUAGCGGUCAAAAACAUCUGCUACUGUGUGCGCUAUAGAAAUUCAUCAGAACAUAUGUUUUAAUAGUCAGCUGCAAGGUCACCGAAUGUUUUACCUUUCUUAAUAUCAAUACAUUGAACCAAUGCCAUACCAUCUCUGAUGUAAGUUGAAAGUGAUGGUACAAAGAAGGGUAUGGAAAGUGCACAAGAG